GCCUUCUAUGUGUAACAGUGUCAAAAGCCUUACUGAAAUCUAGGUAAGCAAUGUAACUAUUAUUUUAGUUACCCAAUCGCAAAAAUCAAUAAGAUUAGUUUGGUAUGAUCUCCUUGAAGUAAACUCAUGUCUCUGAACUUGAAAUCCAUGUGAUUUUAGAUGUUCAACAAUCCUACCCUUUAACAUGGUUUCCAUUACUUUCCCCACUACUGAAGUAAGGCUUACUGGCCUAUAGUUGCUCGACUCCUCCCCACUACCUUUCCUGUGAAUGGGCACAACAUUUGCUAACUUCCAAUCUUCUGGGACUAUUCCUGUUAACAAUGAUUGGUUAAAUAAAUCUGUUAAUGCUUUUGCUAGUACACCACUAAGCUAUUUUAAUAACUUUGGGUGUAUUCCAUCAGGUCCCAUUGACUUGUCUUUACUUUUGACAAUUGAAAUAGAACCUCCUCCUCUUUAAACUCACAUGUAACGACUCAUUUGUCCUUUUUCCUAACUGAGGCCUCUUUUCUUAAUUUUCAUCUGUAAAUACUGAACAAAAAUAUUGAUUGGGGCAGUCAUCUAGACUUUUAUCCUCUUCUACAUACCUUCCUUCUUUUGUUUUUAACCCCUUCAGACCGGAGGGCGUACUAUUACGCCCUAUUCUAAGCGGCUCUAAACGCCGCCG